rnacentral:rRNA from 1 species
UACGUAGGGUGCAAGCGUUAAUCGGAAUUACUGGGCGUAAAGCGUGCGCAGGCGGUUUUGUAAGUCUGUCGUGAAAUCCCCCGGGCUCAACCUGGGAAUUGCGAUGGAGACUGCAAGGCUAGAAUCUGGCAGAGGGGGGUAGAAUUCCACGUGUAGCAGUGAAAUGCGUAGAGAUGUGGAGGAACACCGGAUGGCGAAGGCAGCCCCCUGGGUCAAGAUUGACGCUCAUGCACGAAAGGCGUGGGGAGCAAACAGGAU